GAUAAGCGCCGACCGCCGACGCAAGCGGUGGUAGUGGCGGCGGCGAGACUACUCCGACGGGGUUUUAGCGUUGCCAUGCGACGACGCACAGCGCAGGUGGACGUGGACGUGUAGUGGACGCCGACUAGACAGAUUUACACCGCCCGCAGCCCGAGGAGAGUGUGGAUGGAGUGUGCGUGGUGCGGCCGGGAAGUCAGUCAGCUGGUAGUGGCCUGUGUGUGGCAGAGUACCAGAGUCCACGACGUCGCACGCACACGCUCGACGCUCUCGAACUUUCUCCGAGCUUUCGGAUCCGCGCAGUGUGUUUGAAUCAUAAUACAUUCAUAUCAUUAGUGUACAGUGCACAUUAUUGGACUUACAUCGGAUCAUACACCAUACCAUAUACCAUAUAUUGUAGAUUUCAACAACAAGAGUCAACACCUUGGUAACCAGAUGGUUGGAAAUUGGUACUUCUUGCAAAUCAUGGCGCUGUGUUGUUUUUCGCAUGAAGUUUAUUGCUCGACGAACAAGUUUGACUUUUUGUUCGCCCGCUCGACCUUGUCGAAAAGGGUAGGCGAACGCAGAGAGACUACAGACGGAUCAUGACGUCAUCAGUUGAAAGUUUUCAACCGACACGAUUGGGAUUUGUGAGAGAGUAAUUAAGCAAUUUUGGUGGUGUAAGUGUAUGUGAUAAAAAUAACGUCGGGGGCCUUGAAAAUGAGGGAACACAGUCAAUUCCAUGCGAUUUUGAAAAAUGUUUGUAAACUUUGGUGGAAUUGACUGGACUAUAUGUAGUAGAUAUUGGUGUGUGUGGUGCGUUGGCCGAAGCGAGACGGAUGGCGGCCGGCGGCGACCGUCGCGGCCGUUAAGUUAGGUUAAGGACCCAGACGCGGCGGAAUCCCCACCGCCGGCGGACUCGCCGCCGCGCCGCGCCUCGGAUCGUUGCCUGUGCGGUCGGCAGCAUUCGUUCGUCACGUCUCGUUUGUUUCGCGCGCGACGAUUGGAUCGCGAUCGCCUUUUCGCCAGACGAUGGGUACGCUGCCCCCACCAAGCGAUACCGCCAGCGCCGCCGAUGCCGGCAUGACGGCCGGCUGCUCGCUCGUUCAUUUUCAGUUCGCAACGUGCGGUCGGGUGGUGUAGUCGUGCUAAACUUGCUUUACAUUUGCGCCGGUUUUACAACUCGCAACUUGUAAAAGUUUGAAUUUUUGGUAAAUUUACCUCAAGUGACUUGAAGAUUAAAUUUAAAUUUAAAAAAUAAAUUAGCCGAAUUAAAUAAUGAUAUAAACCAGUGGAAUUCGAUUUGGAUCGUGGGUUUUUGGAACAGUUAAGGAUACGAAGGAGGGAAUGCCGAAGGAGUAAAUUGUUGUAAAUGUACUUGCGCUUGUACAUACGUUAUACGCGCACAGCACGAAAUCGUAGACGUCAGCACCGGCACGCGGUGCCGACCGGUCGAAAACCUCUCCUCUGUCUGCGUGCGGCCGCGAAUAAUCGUGCGAACGCCGACACGCCACCUUCGAUUCCCCGAAAGUCUCUCCGAGCAGCGGACAAGAAACAAAAAUUGUUUGCUCGCGAAAAAAUCGCGGCUGUGGUGUGUGCGGGGUUUGUGUGUGAGCGGUGUGGCAGCGAGCGAACAUAAUAAGUAAUUUUGAAACUUUACUUUCGGUCGUUCGGCCCCCAACGUACCAACUCAACGACCUACUUCGACGAAAUCGACUUGGCAGUAGGUGUUUGUUACUUACUCGUUGGUGGGCCUCGAGGCGCGAGUUAUCGAGUCCGUUUCCGGUGCGAGAUCACUUGUGGACAUAUCCGGGACGUCAAUCCGAAAAAUUAUUCAAGCAUUUUGAAAACGGGGAAAAAGGUGUACGCCACACAGCUGUUUGCCAGUUGUACAUAGAUACGCUGUGUGCUAGUUGCUGGUACUGCACGGCCUUGUGUCUAAUUUGCUAAUACGUGUUUGAUUUUAUUGCCAAAUCGGCGCUGGCUUUGCGCGCUCACCGAGAAGAACCUUGGGGGUCCUUGAGCGAGGCCGCGCCGCUAGGUAUAGUACAUUGGGGGAAGCUGCUGUUGCUGCUGCUCAGUGCAACAAGACGGCACGCACGCUUUCUAAUUCCGUCCCGAAUUCUGCACACUGCGGGCCGUUGCGACGCGUGUUACUUCGGUAUUUUGACUUCUUUUUGGCGUGGACCGCUCGUCCCCCCGAGUCAGGUACCUGAAGUAGCGCGCGUUGCGGUAGGCACCAAACAUCUGCCGGAUGCGAGCGCGCCGGCGAGAGGAAUUCUUUCGCCUUGGCAACAAGCAACACACGACCAACAAUCGGCAACCAACUACAACCGACGCAGUUGAAAUUCUUCGAAAUGCAGCGCAGCCGGCGCACGAAAUUAUUUUCGCAAAUCUGUCACAUGUCUAUUGUACUUCAUCAGGUGCUCUGGUAGGUUGGUUCCCGACACCUGUUGGAGUGCACUAAUUAUGUGGCUAUGGCCAUCUUACAAUUAAUUUUAAAAAUUAUAAUAAACAACGGAAUCAUUUUUAUUUGUCUUCAUCAUCAAGGUCACGAUAACGAAAACGAAAAUAUAUUGAAGCGAUUGUGUAAAUAUUUAUGUAAAUUAAUAUUUUCAUUAUCACUAUGCGCUCUGCACUAUGGUUUUAAUUACACUUGCAUUAUCGAUAGGACCGAGGCUUCGUGGAAAUUUUGUUAUGUAUUGAAUAAAAACUUUUGCAACCUGA